AGGACGAACGCUGGCGGCGUGCUUAACACAUGCAAGUCGAACGGUGAAGCCUUUCGGGGUGGAUCAGUGGCGAACGGGUGAGUAACACGUGAGCAAUCUGCCCUUGACUCUGGGAUAACUUCGGGAAACCGGAGCUAAUACCGGAUAUGACGCAUGGCCGCAUGGUCUGUGUGUGGAAAGAUUUAUUGGUCAGGGAUGAGCUCGCGGCCUAUCAGCUUGUUGGUGGGGUAAUAGGCGUACCAAGGACGACGACGGGUA
rnacentral:rRNA from 1 species